rnacentral:lncRNA from 1 species
AAUUUUAGCUUACAGUAAAGUUUCAGUGAUGGUCACGGAUCUGCACAGCCACAGGUGGAUGUGUAUGGCAUGUAGACCAGGAAUGGUCUUCAUUAAGCAUAAGGCUCUGCUUAGGUCUGAUAUACCCAGACUUGUAUUACUUUCUCCUAGCCCCCACAGUUUCCCAAGAAAUUCACACUGCAGACACAGAAGUUAGGAUUUGGUCAUCGUGGACUGACCUUUAAAGGGGCUCUUGAAGGAUCUGGCAAUUUCAUAGGGGUGAUGUGAAUGGAACUCUCUGACCUCCUGCAGUGUUCCAGACCAGUUAAAUCCCAUUCCAGCAGCUCAUCACAGAGCUGCUGGCCCUACCAGGCAAGGCUGAGCACAGUCUGUGGGCAGUGCAACAUGCACAGUGGAUGCUCUGAAACCCAGACAACGAGAAAAGUCCUUGCGAUGUCAUCAGGCUUGUCCAGAAUCUCCUCCAGAAUAUCUACAGAAUCCUUCAUGCUAGCACCAGUGGCAGCUGAGAACAGUAAAAAGAAGUUUUGCUCAAAGAUUCUGGGGGCUAAGAACUGGAGAAGACUCAAGGAUGUGGUCCUGCUGCCAUUGUGCUGUCCUGCUUCCACGAGGGAGUUCUGACAGCACGUAGUUUGUGCUGCUGGGAACGGGCUCUUCG